UACGAAGGGGGCUAGCGUUGCUCGGAAUUACUGGGCGUAAAGCGCACGUAGGCGGCUUGUUAAGUCGGGGGUGAAAUCCUGGAGCUCAACUCCAGAAUUGCCUUCGAUACUGGCUUUCUAGAGGCUGGAAGAGGUUAGUGGAAUUCCCAGUGUAGAGGUGAAAUUCGUAGAUAUUGGGAAGAACACCAGUGGCGAAGGCGGCUAACUGGUCCAGAUCUGACGCUGAGGUGCGAAAGCGUGGGGAGCAAACAGG
rnacentral:rRNA from 1 species